GUCCACGCCGUAAACGAUGAAUGCUAGACGCUGGGAUGCUUGCAUUUCGGUGUCGCCGCUAACGCAUUAAGCAUUCCGCCUGGGGAGUACGGCCGCAAGGUUAAAACUCAAAGGAAUUGACGGGGGCCCGCACAAGCGGUGGAGCAUGUGGUUUAAUUUCGAAGCAACGCGCAGAACCUUACCCAGCUCUUGACAUCCUGUAUCGGAUCCUGGGAGACCGGGAUCUUCCCUUCGGGGAGGCAGAGACAGGUGCUGCAUGGCUGUCGU
rnacentral:rRNA from 1 species